rnacentral:rRNA from 1 species
AGUGAACGCUGGCGGUAGGCCUAACACAUGCAAGUCGAACGGCAGCACAGUAAGAGCUUGCUCUUGCGGGUGGCGAGUGGCGGACGGGUGAGGAAUACAUCGGAAUCUACUUUUUCGUGGGGGAUAACGUAGGGAAACUUACGCUAAUACAGCAUACGACCUACGGGUGAAAGCAGGGGAUCUUCGGACCUUGCGCGAUUGAAUGAGCCGAUGUCGGAUUAGCUAGUUGGCGGGGUAAAGGCCCACCAAGGCGACGAUCCGUAGCUGGUCUGAGAGGAUGAUCAGCCACACUGGAACUGAGACACGGUCCAGACUCCUACGGGAGGCAGCAGUGGGGAAUAUUGGACAAUGGGCGCAAGCCUGAUCCAGCCAUACCGCGUGGGUGAAGAAGGCCUUCGGGUUGUAAAGCCCUUUUGUUGGGAAAGAAAAGCAGCAGGUUAAUACCCCGCUGUUCUGACGGUACCCAAAGAAUAAGCACCGGCUAACUUCGUG